AUGGUGAGGUCGCCAAUGUCGGCCACGCUGCCACAGCUCAGGUCGCGGCUCUUCGUUACCCGGGGUAUCCCCUCGAACUUUCCCGAGACCAGGACACACAUUCUAGAGAGCUCCUUGGUCAUCGGCUGGUCCAUCACGAGUUGUGGUGCAAGGCUGCAGGCUACAUUUGUGACAGAGAGGGCAAGACUGGGGAGGCCGAGGAGGAGGAGACCAGAGAGCCAUGACGUCGAGGUGGAAGGAGCCAUGAUCGCUGCUAUCGACAACAUGGUCACUUUGUCUGAUUGGUUAGCCUGUCACUCUCGCUUCUCUUGCAGUCGUGCAUCCCCAGGGCAUGGGCGCCGAUAUGAAUGA
rnacentral:rRNA from 1 species